UACGUAGGGUGCGAGCGUUGUCCGGAUUUAUUGGGCGUAAAGAGCUCGUAGGCGGUUUGUCGCGUCGGCCGUGAAAUCUCCACGCUUAACGUGGAGCGUGCGGUCGAUACGGGCAGACUUGAGUUCGGUAGGGGAGACUGGAAUUCCUGGUGUAGCGGUGAAAUGCGUAGAUAUCAGGAGGAACACCGGUGGCGAAGGCGGUUCUCUGGGCAUUACCUGACGCUGAGGAGCGAAAGUGUGGGGAGCGAACAGG
rnacentral:rRNA from 1 species